rnacentral:lncRNA from 1 species
AAGCCCUAAUCCCUAACAAACACCAACGCGACUUUGCUUCUUCUUCUCCAAAGGCAACCAAAUCCAGCCCUAAUAAUGUACAAAUUCGAGCGAUUGAACCUCAAAUCUCUCCUCAUGUGUUCGCCUUUCUCCCCUCUCACCACAUAUAACCGUUUCUGACGCUAAGAUUCUCAUUCCCUUUACUCGCUCGAUUUGGAGAUAAGCCACGCGAUUGGAAGCUUCUGGGAACGAUUUACUGGAUGAGUGUGAGGCGUUGAUUGAUUUCACUCAAUCCAAGCCCCACAUUCAUCAGGAAUUCGUUUUCAAAGGGGAAUUUUAGAUGGAUUUUGACAGGGGGAAUUUUUGGAAAAAGAAAAGAAAAUUUUCAGAGUCUGGGGGAUUUGAAAAAGGGGAGAGAAAGCAUUUAGGUUUUCAUGGAGUCUUCUUGAGGUUUUCAGUUCCGAUUCUAGAAAAAAGGGUUAAAAUUUUCAAUUUCUUUAUUUUGGUUCUGAGUCCCGUUUCAGAAAAUAAUCCAAAAAAAAAAAGUUUUCAUUGUCUUUUUGAUUCCUUUCGAAAAUGGGGAUGGACUGAGCUGAGAUCGAGUUGACUGUUCGCGUUCAAGUUUGUAGUUCUUGCAUCCUAACGCACCUACUGUUCUUCUGAAGUUUUCAUUAUCAAGUUUAUUUGUAUUGGGUUCAAACAAGAAUUAAUUUAAGUUUUCUCAACUCGGGUUCAUUUCUUCUCCAAUGCUUUAUUAAUUCGUAAUUCAAUGUUUGUGUGUGUUUAUGCCCCAUCAUGGUUUGGUGUGAACCCUGAAAUACAAUGCCCGUGCUCUUACUCUGUUUCUGAGCUCUAUUGGAUUUGGUUCGGAUCUGUUAAGAUGUCUUAGUUUAUCACUAAGGUACACUGCAAUGGUCGAUUCCCCCUGCCCUUUAUUUAGUAGUUCAUCUCUUGCAAGUUCGUUGUUAGUUGAUAGGUUGCAAGUUCGUUGUUAGUUGAUAGGUUGCAAGUUCGAUUGCUCUUUCUUUACCUCGCAAGGUUUUCAAAUAUGUAGAAAUCAGUUUUACUGGGCUUCUGAACUGAAUAAAUGGCAGUCUAAUUGAUCUCUUAUCGGCAAGUUUUAGUGACUUGGUUCUGUCUCUGCGAUAAAUCUUCUGCUGGUUUCCUUAGCAAAGAUUUCUCUGUUUUGUUUUACUAAGGUUCAAUGAGUUUGAAACCCAUUAAUCCGUUGUUUAAGUUUCAUCCUGAUUUUUCUUAGCGUCGUUUUGGUUCAUCUUAAUCAAUU